UCCCUGGUGGUCUAGUGGUUAGGAUUCAGCACUUUCACUGCUGUGGCCCAGGAGUUCAAUCCCUGGUCUGGGGA
rnacentral:tRNA from 1 species